UUUAAAUUUAAACAAAAGGUAUUAAAAGAUAUCAUUACAAAGAAAUCUUAGAAAAAGAUACUUAAGAGUAUCUUUUAGAUAUCUUAUUUUGAAAAUAUUAAAAUAAUAUAUUAGAUUAUGGUAUAUAUUUUAAAGUAACUAAGGGGGGUGUAUUCAAUAUAAAAUUUGAGGUGAUUUGAUUUUUAAUAAAGUUUUAGAUGAUUUUAAGGAAUUGCAGAGAAUAAAAUGAUUUUUGUUAAACCUCUCUAGAAUAUCAUCUAAAACUAUGAGAUUUGAGUUUUAAUUUUUUUAACUAAGAAACUCCACCCAAAUACUCUAAAAUCACCUGAAAACUUUAAAAUUCCACAACUUAAAAUAUUUUCAAUAACAGUGGAUUUCAGAGUACUUUAUAAAAUGUCAAGUUCAAUAACACUGGAUUUUAAAUGAGUUUUUAAAAUUCAUGUUUCAAUAACAGUGGAUUUGUCAUUUUAACACAAAUCACCUAAAACUCUCGGUUGAAUACACCUCCCUAAGUUAAUUAUAUGAUAAAUAAUAUAAAUUUAAAUAAUGUAAUGAUUCAACUAUGAAUUUUUGUAAGUAGAUUUUUUAGUGAUUAUGUUGUAAUAGUAUAGAUAUAAUUCCAUUUAUAAUAUUUCCUCCAUCCUAUAUAUAUUCACAAAAAUCAAAUCAAACAAAACAACAAACAUCAGCCUUACAGUCUUACCCCUGAGUUUUACAUCUCUUUGAACAAAAAAGCUAUAUCAGAAAUGGCCCAAAAAAUGUGUCUGGUGAUGAUGAUGGUGUUGGUAUUGGUAACAGUGGAAUGUGAUCUAAAAGCAAGUAACAUCCCUUUCUCUCCCUCGCGAGCGUCUCUCCUAGAGGUUGAAGUAAUACUGCCACAAGAAGGUGACACUACUAUCUGUUUCAGAAAUUGUACCCUAAAAUGUGGCGCUAACAUGGAUUGCAUGCACAACUGUUUGAAGAAUUGCCCCCACUAGGACAACUCUUUUUUAAUUAUCAUACAAAAAACUCACAUUUCUGAUGAUGAUCCAUGUGUUUUUCAUACGGCCAUUUGAGUUUAUAUCAAUGUAUUAAGAUUAAUUGAUUACGAGUAAAAUUUUCGUUAUAUAUUGUCAAAUC